UACGUAGGGGGCAAGCGUUGUCCGGAUUCAUUGGGCGUAAAGAGCGUGUAGGCGGCCAGGUAGGUCGGUUGUGAAAACUGGAGGCUCAACCUUCAGAGGUCGACCGAAACCAUCUGGCUAGAGUCCGGGAGAGGAGAGUGGAAUUCCUGGUGUAGCGGUGAAAUGCGCAGAUAUCAGGAAGAACACCCGUGGCGAAGGCGGCUCUCUGGGACGGUACUGACGCUGAGGAGCGAAAGCGUGGGGAGCGAACAGG
rnacentral:rRNA from 1 species